rnacentral:rRNA from 1 species
UGGGGAAUAUUGCACAAUGGGCGCAAGCCUGAUGCAGCCAUGCCGCGUGUAUGAAGAAGGUCUUCGGGUUGUAAAGUACUUUCAGCGGGGAGGAAGGCGAUAAGGUUAAUAACCUUGUCGAUUGACGUUACCCGCAGAAGAAGCACCGGCUAACUCCGUGCCAGCAGCCGCGGUAAUACGGAGGGUGCAAGCGUUAAUCGGAAUUACUGGGCGUAAAGCGCACGCAGGCGGUCUGUCAAGUCGGAUGUGAAAUCCCCGGGCUCAACCUGGGAACUGCAUUCGAAACUGGCAGGCUAGAGUCUUGUAGAGGGGGGUAGAAUUCCAGGUGUAGCGGUGAAAUGCGUAGAGAUCUGGAGGAAUACCGGUGGCGAAGGCGGCCCCCUGGACAAAGACUGACGCUCAGGUGCGAAAGCGUGGGGAGCAAACA